AUGGCAAGGGGGCUGGGGACACGUAGCCACAGACUGCAGGCCAGGGUACAGGUGAACCCGAGCUGCCUCCGAGCAGACCCUGUGUUCCCUGCGGUCUCCCGGGCUGGUGGCACACUGUCUGCCCUUUUCAGGGACCUCUGCAGCCACCAGAGAGCGUGGCGACCCUGUGCGAUUUAUCUCCAGCUGCUCUCUGACCCGCCGUGAUUCCCUCCCCACCCCCACCUUUCCCCAGCCCGGAUCCUGCUCCUCCAGCUCCUCUUGGCCGGCGAUGUUGUCUUGUCGAUGUCCAAAAACCCCGUCCAGUGUCUACAGAAAGCCAUCCUUCCUGCUGGUCCCCAUCAGCUCCCGGCAAGGGAGCAACUCUUCAGCCUAAAAACGGAAAGAAGGCCCUGGUAAGACGUUCCUAGUUGCUUCCUAGCUGCGGAUGCCUCAGAUAAUUUCCUAUAAGAGCGAGCACCCACACGCUUUAGAUGGCAUAAAAUAUGAGUUCCAGAGGAAUUGAAUCGAAGUGCUCCUCCCACUGAGCUAUAUCCCCGGCUGGGUAUCCCUUAACUCCUGCAAUUUAAAACUGUCAGCCAGACUCGGUGGUGGACGUGUGGAAUCCCAGCACUCUCAGAGGCUGAGUCAGGAGGAUUUCAAGUUCAAACCCAGCCAAGGCCAUUUAGUUACUAAGGAAGAUCCUGUCAAAAAACAAAACAAACAAAAAGAAAGAGAAGGCUAGGUAUGUAGCUCGUUGUGAAGGCCCUGAGUACUGAAAAUCCCCAGUACUGAAAAAAAUAAAACUGUCAUAUUACUCUUCCAAAUGCAUCCAGUGGCAUCUAAAAGUCACAGCAAUUAGAAAGACACCAUCAUUCAUCUUUAACCAAUAAAAAUAAAAAACAUUGUUCUUGACCAUUGGAAACUGUAUAGUAUGCUUUGUUCUUGAACUUUUGUUUCCAUUCUGCUUCUCCAGUAAAAUUUUAUUCUAAUAUAAUAUAUCUUACUCUUAAUGGCAUUUUAUUGACC
rnacentral:lncRNA from 1 species